CGUACUUCAAGGUGUACCGCAUCAAACUCUUUGCUUGGUCUGAUAGCAACCGUAUUCUGUUCCAUCAGGAGGAUUCCAAUGGCAUCACUGGAGAGUUCACCUUCCGUAAGUUUAAGCCACGCAAGGAGGUCAUUGACAAGAUGAACCCAGACGCCAAAAAGAAGGCUGUGGAAGCUGCAGA